CCCCAAGGACACAAGCCAUGCAUGCCCGCACACCCGGGAGGCGGCGGACGGCUCAGGACAACGGUUGCACCCCCCGCGGCGGUCCCUGCUAGCCGGACACCGCUGGCAACCCGGCGCCAAGACGUG
rnacentral:rRNA from 1 species